AGUUGAUGUGAUGAUAAUCUUUCACAGAAAAUCAUAUCUAGUGUUUGGCCAAACUACAAACUACAAUUAUCUAAUCGUCU
rfam:Hordeum vulgare subsp. vulgare, WGS project CAJW01000000 data, contig: morex_contig_63180